rnacentral:rRNA from 1 species
AGCAAUACUGUGGGUGGCGAGUGGCGGACGGGUGAGUAAUGCAUCGGGACCUACCCAGACGUGGGGGAUAACGUAGGGAAACUUACGCUAAUACCGCAUACGUCCUACGGGAGAAAGCAGGGGAUCUUCGGACCUUGCGCGGUUGGACGGACCGAUGUGCGAUUAGCUAGUUGGUAAGGUAAUGGCUUACCAAGGCGACGAUCGCUAGCUGGUCUGAGAGGAUGAUCAGCCACACUGGGACUGAGACACGGCCCAGACUCCUACGGGAGGCAGCAGUGGGGAAUAUUGGACAAUGGGCGCAAGCCUGAUCCAGCAAUGCCGCGUGUGUGAAGAAGGCCCUCGGGUUGUAAAGCACUUUUAUCAGGAACGAAAUACCACGGGCUAAUACCCUAUGGGGCUGACGGUACCUGAGGAAUAAGCACCGGCUAACUUCGUGCCAGCAGCCGCGGUAAUACGAAGGGUGCAAGCGUUAAUCGGAAUUACUGGGCGUAAAGGGUGCGUAGGCGGUUAGUUAAGUCUGUUGUGAAAUCCCCGGGCUCAACCUGGGAAUGGCAAUGGAAACUGGCUAGCUAGAGUGUGUCAGA